rnacentral:rRNA from 1 species
GAUGAACGCUGGCGGCGUGCCUAAUACAUGCAAGUCGAGCGGACAGACGAGGAGCUUGCUCCUCUGACGUUAGCGGCGGACGGGUGAGUAACACGUGGAUAACCUACCUAUAAGACUGGGAUAACUUCGGGAAACCGGAGCUAAUACCGGAUAAUAUAUUGAACCGCAUGGUUCAAUAGUGAAAGACGGUUUUGCUGUCACUUAUAGAUGGAUCCGCGCCGCAUUAGCUAGUUGGUAAGGUAACGGCUUACCAAGGCAACGAUGCGUAGCCGACCUGAGAGGGUGAUCGGCCACACUGGAACUGAGACACGGUCCAGACUCCUACGGGAGGCAGCAGUAGGGAAUCUUACGCAAUGGGCGAAAGCCUGACGGAGCAACGCCGCGUGAGUGAUGAAGGUCUUCGGAUCGUAAAACUCUGUUAUUAGGGAAGAACAAAUGUGUAAGUAACUAUGCACGUCUUGACGGUACCUAAUCAGAAAGCCACGGCUAACUACGUG